rnacentral:rRNA from 1 species
UUAUCCGGAUUUAUUGGGUUUAAAGGGAGCGUAGGUGGAUUGUUAAGUCAGUUGUGAAAGUUUGCGGCUCAACCGUAAAAUUGCAGUUGAAACUGGCGGUCUUGAGUACAGUAGAGGUGGGCGGAAUUCGUGGUGUAGCGGUGAAAUGCUUAGAUAUCACGAAGAACUCCGAUUGCGAAGGCAGCUCACUAGACUGUCACUGACACUGAUGCUCGAAAGUGUGGGUAUCAAACAGGAUUAGAUACCCUGGUAGUCCACACAGUAAACGAUGAAUACUCGCUGUUUGCGAUAUACAGUAAGCGGCCAAGCGAAAGCAUUAAGUAUUCCACCUGGGGAGUACGCCGGCAACGGUGAAACUCAAAGGAAUUGACGGGGGCCCGCACAAGCGGAGGAACAUGUGGUUUAAUUCGAUGAUACGCGAGGAA